AUGGCUACAGUCACUGCAAACGGAGUGCAGCAGGAGAAUGGAUUCAGCACCACGAACAGCGCCGGCAGGAUGAACGGGCUUACCAUCGGCCAGAACACCAUUCCAAUGAAGGACCACGACGCCAUCAAGCUUUUCAUCGGGCAGAUUCCCAGAAACCUGGAAGAAAAAGACCUGAAACCCCUGUUUGAGGAAUUCGGAAAGAUAUAUGAACUCACUGUACUGAAAGACAGGUUUACGGGAAUGCAUAAAGGAUGUGCCUUUCUAACAUACUGUGCCAGAGAGUCAGCACUGAAAGCCCAGAGCGCCCUUCAUGAACAGAAGACGCUGCCAGGGAUGAACCGACCUAUUCAGGUGAAGCCAGCCGACAGCGAAGGACGGGGAGAAGACAGGAAGCUGUUUGUGGGAAUGCUCGGCAAGCAACAGAGCGAGGACGAUGUCCAGCGGCUGUUUGAGACCUUCGGCCAGAUCGAGGAGUGCACCGUCCUUCGAGGGCCUGAUGGGGCCAGUAAGGGCUGUGCCUUCGUCAAGUUCUCAAGCCACGCAGAAGCGCAAGCCGCCAUCAACAGCUUGCAUGGUGGACAAACUAUGCCUGGUGCCUCGUCCAGCCUGGUGGUCAAAUUUGCAGAUACUGAUAAAGAGAGGACUCUGCGGAGGAUGCACCAGAUGGCGGGCCAGCUCGGCAUCUUCAGUCCCAUGACCAUCCAGUUUGGGGCCUAUGGCGCCUACUCUCAUGCUGUAAGUCUCAGCCCAGCGGGAGAGGAGACGCAGAUGAUGCAACAGCAAGCAGCCCUGAUGGCAGCAACACAAGGGUCCUACCUGAACCCUAUGGCCGCCAUUGCUGCUGCACAAAUGCAGCAAAUGGCAGCUUUUAAUGUCAAUGGUCUGGUGGCUACUCCCAUGACACCGUCUUCAGGCACCAGCACACCCCCAGGCAUUUCUGCUACAGCCGUGCCAAGCAUAGCCACACCUAUUGGGGUUAACGGUUUCAGUGCCCUACCACCUCAAAGCAAUGGCCAGCCAACAUCGGAGCCCAUCUAUACUAAUGGCAUCCAUCCUUACCCAGCACAGAGUCCGACAGUGACCGACCCUCUCCAACAGGCUUAUGCUGGUGUCCAGCACUACGCAGCAGCCUACCCUGCCGCCUAUGCGCCAAUCAGCCAAGCGUUCCCCCAGCAACCGACCAUCAUUCCCCAGCAACAGAGGGAAGGGCCGGAAGGUUGCAACCUGUUUAUUUACCACCUGCCCCAGGAGUUUGGAGACGCCGAGCUCAUGCAAAUGUUCCUUCCUUUUGGCAAUGUCAUCUCUGCCAAAGUCUUUGUUGACCGAGCCACCAAUCAGAGCAAAUGUUUUGGCUUUGUGAGUUUCGAUAACCCGUCCAGUGCUCAGGCCGCUAUACAGGCCAUGAACGGCUUCCAGAUAGGCAUGAAGAGGCUGAAGGUGCAGCUAAAACGGCCAAAGGAUGCCAACCGACCUUACUGACUCGUUUGCCGUCCGUUAACAGUGUGAGGUGGCCUUUCUGCGCUAUAACCACACACCCCACCAACAUCUGUCAUGGGGGAAAGUUCCCACAGCUGAUGAAGGGCCACAACACCUUAUUUCCACAAGUGCAGUAAAAGUACAAAGACUCCUCGUUCUGCUACAUAUCAUGAAGAAAGGGUGGUCCCUUGAUCCUCCUGGAAAGCCGCUGAAAGAUUGGGUGACUGAAAGAAGGAUCCCAGAGUUGUUAUUUUUUAUUAUCAUUUUAGUUUUUUUCUUUCUUCGCAAAUGCCUCUCUUUUCCCUAUUUGCUUUGGCAUCUGUGGAAGAAGAUUUUUGCAGAGACCAACUUUUUGCUGCUGUUUUUUAGACAUGAUAAAAAAAGAAAAAACAAAAAAACUACUUUAUAGACUCAUUAUGCUCAAAGCAUGCAUACUGACACAGGAUACAGAUAAACUCACUUAAAGAUAUAAAAAAAAAAUAAACCAAACAUACAAAAAAUUAAAGAAGCUGCACUUAAUGAAUGAAAACUUAAAAAAAAGACUCUGUACAUGUAUAAAUACGUGCAAAUGCCAACACAAGAACUGAAGCAAAUUCAUGCAUAUGUGCACACACAUACACACACCAAUACACAAACACAUACACACCAGCCUGCUGCCAUUUUGGUUUUUGUGCCUACACAGGUGUUGUGCUCUGUGACAGGGCAAGCUCUGCAUCAAAAGUGGAGAAACAUGAAGAAGAGGAGAAGAUUGGGGAAAUCCAGGAUAAUUUACAUGCAUCAUUCCUUAGGAAAUAGGGACCAAAGGACUAAAUGCUUUUUAAAAGAUUAUAAAUAUAUAAAUAUAUAUUUAAAAACGCAUACCUUGUAGCUGCAAGUAUUUACUCAUAGUCAAAAAAAAAGAUCAUUAAAUCAAUAUCCAGUGGCUUACUGUUAGAGCAAAGAUGGAAAUGAUGUAAAAAAAAAAAAAAAAAAAGACAUGGAAACAUAGUACAGGGGCCGAUCUUUUGCUCUGGAUGCUGAUUUAGCACAAGGUGGUAGAAUAGUGAUGUAGACUAGAAAAAGUACAUUUGCAAAAUUUUGCUGUUGAAUAAGAAUUUUAAUUUGUCAUCAAAAGUUGGUGAAAGAGAGAGUACAAAAAUCUUUAUCCAUGCUUUUGGGAGUUGUGUCUUGUUUUUUUUUCUUCCUUUGAUGUAAAGGUAACGGCCACUGGAUAUCCCACUCAUCAUGAUGUUUAAGGCAUUGCACUCUCUGACAGCUGAAGAGAUCUAGCUGACGAAAAAGGAAAACAAGAGAGAUAAAAGACUGAACUCCCCAAUGUCUGUGCAGGACAGUGUGCAGAUGUUUAAGGAAUCUCACUAGCCUUUGUGUUCAAGCGACAAUCCACCAUAAAGACCAAGUCAAAUGGACAAGGCGUGUUUUUUUUUUCUUUCUUUCUCGUCAUUCCUCUUGACCUUUUGUAUUGCAUCAUAAUGUAUUUUGAAGCCACACAUUGUUGAAACGAGAGGAAUAAAAAGGUGACGGGUGACCAUGAACAAAACAGUGAAAAAGCUUAAGAGGAGGAGUAAGGCAACAGCUACUGAAACUGCCAGCAAAAUGAACUGUGGUUAGUAAUGAACUCUUCUUGUGGUACUCUCCCCAAGUAAAAAAACAAAACAGCAAUGUCUGAAGGACAAGCCAAGGCUGUUCGUCUCUGCUUGAGGCGCUUCUAUUUAUACUGAUAAAAAUCAAAUCUUGUCUUUUAUUAGAUACAAAAACCCAAACUAAACACACAAAUGGAAAAGGAGUAUAGUUUUUAAAAGCUCAUUAAACUCUGUUACACCUAAAUUAUAAAAAGAAAUCUACUCUAAACUGGUUCCCCCAUCUAUUUGUUUUCCUCCUAUGUAAUACAUGAAACUUAUUUAAAAAAAAGCUGCCCCCCUAACAGGCUAAAACUAAGAACUGUAGUAGCUCCUUGUCAUCUUCACUCAGAUGAUCUAUAGCUUUUUAGAGCAAAGAACUACAGUGCUGUCACUUUUUGACUAAGAGUCCUUUUACCCUUUUUUGACAGUUUUUGAGCUGUACAUUUGGACUCUUCUGUAAAGCCCAAUCGAUAUGUUUGGAGUCAGGGAGGAGUACUGGUUGUUUUCAGUCACUAUGAGCACUUCCUAAUUUGCUCUGCAGAACACCAGUUCACAUCCUUAUACCAGCCCUUCUGAGUACCGACAGCUGGCAUUGAGAGGCAGGACAAGGCAAGAAGGAGUCAAGCAGGAAGAGAGGAAAUCAACAGCUUAUCACAUUUACAUCCCUCUUUGAUGAUCCUUCAAGGCUGUUGCAGCAUGAUGCUGACAAAAUUAGAAAUAGUAAUCAUGCCCUUGGUGAAAAAAUAUUAUGGAUUUGUGAUAUAUGCUUCCAAAGAACCAGUAAUUGGAAGUUCAAUUGGACCAACUUUGAGCUCUUUAGGCCCCAUUCCAAAUAGUCCGUUAUUACUUUUUAAACUGUUCUACUUGCCUUUUCCUUUUUUAGUUACAGGACAGAUUUUAGUCAAACGAAGAGAAGGGGUCAAACAAUGAAAUGUACAAGCAUAUACCACUUUUUUAAUGAGCCCCUUCUGUCAUUUAAAUGCUCUGAAAUUCUUCAUCCAAGCUUUAUUAUCAUCUCAUCUUUUAGUUACGUUUUCAGUUUUUGAAUUCCAGCCAUGCCUUUUAAAACUAGGAAAUAACUAUUCACCACCAUUCCCCCAGGAACAGAAAUGUCUAACCCCACUAAUGCCUGGGCCCACUACCCUUCAAUUAUCUAGCACUAUAUUAGAAAAUGCUUUUCACCUUUCUGUAAUCACUCUGUAAUCAUAAGCCUCUAUACAUUAGCAGCAACCAAGUGAAAAAUCACAGGGAUAAUCACUUGGACUGAAUGAUGGGAGAGAUGGUUCCCAACAUGCACAUGGAUGACAGAAGGAAGAUUAGGGAGAAUUAUGUCUGUGCAUACUUCUUGGCAAGGCUGCUGACAGCUGACCUGGCACGGCUAACACAGCCAAAUUUACUCAUCGGAUGGGGGAUGCAGAACAAAACAUUCCAUAUUGGUGUUAAACUCAAAGAGCAGAUUAGUAGUUCUAAAAGAAAACUAAAAUAGAAGGGCAACAUAAAGCAAAAAAAUAUUUUCCUUCUCAACAAAGGAUGCAAAAAACACUUGGUUUUAAAGACGCUUAGAACUUAUAUUUCUGUGGGAAAUGCCUAGUUGUUCUACAGCAGCUGCUGCGUGGCCUGUGUUAUUGAAAUUCUUUUUUUUUUAUCCGCAAAAAUAUUGCUUCUCAGCAGUUGGCAACAGAGGUCAAGCAAUUUACAAGAAAAACUUGCUCAGAGUUGUUUUUUUCUCUUUCUACUUUUGCUAAGGGAUCUCCAAAGCACAGUUUUGCUCAGCUAUAACAAGAUAUGCAGAAGCACAGCUUUUCCGAAUGAUGUCCAACAAAUGACAUGUUUAUUUUUCAACUGAAUUAAGUACAAUUUCUUCUUCUAUCCCACAUUAACUUUUGAUAUAAAUUCUGAAGAGUACAUGAAGUGGGUUGAAAAGGCUUUGUCCUCCGAACAGUUUGUGUUUAUUAUCUACUUGAAGCAGAAGCCCUCAAUUGGCAGAGUAAUAUUCAAUGAGCAAUUGAAUGUUCCAUGCUUGUCUUGGCAAUCCCUAAAAUGCACUCAGUAACAUAGAGCUUGCAUGCACGCUCCAAUGAACUUUUCUGUCUUAAAUCAGAUGCUGUAGUGCUCCCUCUCCUAAUAGCAGGUUGAGUCCCCAGUGAGCCAAAUUCCAGACCAGCUUAGCCUCCUGCUGUCUUGGUUGGCUGAUAGUACCAUGUACAUGUAGCAUGUACCUGCUAUGCCAGAGUUAAAUUAGAGAAAUGUGAAACCAGCACUUCAGCAGCUUUAACAACGGUGUUCAGAUUACCUAUACACCAUGGGAAGUAUAAUGUUAAGGUGUAAGCAUUAAAAGCUGAAACAGUGACACACUUAAGUUGGAAUGGCCAAACUCAGACAAAAAGGUUGUUUUAAUAGUCAAACUUUGCUGGUUGAGAUUCUUUCAAGAUUUAUUUCUGUGGGCCCUAAGAAAUGGCAACAAUGCAAGCACACCCCAGCUUAUAUACAAUACAAGUAAAAACUGGCUGGCAGUUAAAAUAACACAAUGCUGAAUAAAGGUUUACUUCAAACUUCAACUAUUUCAAAUGUUAUGUUACAAACACAAACUUCAAUAUAUAUUACUGGUUAAUUUGAGGUACAAAGUUGUAAAAUGAACAUAAAUGCUCACAUUAUUAUUAUGUGUGUGGCAUACAUCUGUAUUCAGCCCCCCUAAGUCAGUCCUGUUUGAGUUUAAAUAUAUUAAAGGUUAUGUUUUGCACAUUUAAAGAGAAGAACUGUUUGCAAAAUGGUUAAAGCUCUUACAGCCUGGAUCGAAAAUAUCUGUAAACAUGGAUCUUUAAGUGUUACAAUCUUCCUAUCUGGAUUUGCAUCUGGACCUUAAUUUAGCACCUCUGGCUGCUACGCUUGGCUGAUUCCAUUGUGGGAAGAGGAGCCUUUGCCCAAGUCUUUUGUAAUUUUUUUUUUUUUUCCAGAAUUGACUUGACUUUAGUUGCAUCCAUCUUUUGAUUAGCU